AACGAACGCUGGCGGCGUGCCUAACACAUGCAAGUCGAACGAGAAUUUUCCUUUCGGGGAAUAGUAAAGUGGCGCAAGGGUGAGUAACACGUGAAUAAUCUGCCUACGAAUUCGGGAUAACGCGGGGAAACUUGUGCUAAUACCGGAUAAGACCACGUCUCCUAUGAGAUGUGGCCAAAGGAGUCUCAAACUCCGUUUGUAGAUGAGUUCGCGGACCAUUAGCUUGUUGGAGGGAUAACAGCCCCCCAAGGCGACGAUGGUUAGCCGGCCUGAGAGGGUGAUCGGCCACACUGGAACUGAGACACGGCCCAGACUCCUACGGGAGGCAGCAGUGGGGAAUUUUCCGCAAUGGACGAAAGCCUGACGGAGCAACGCCGCGUGAGGGACG
rnacentral:rRNA from 1 species